GUGAGCGAUUCUGCGGAGCCUGGAGAACAGUGAGAGGUUGUGAGUUUUGGGGCGGAGAGUUGAAGAGAGGUUUAAACAGUGUGAGGAAAUCGACAGCGGUGGGUUUGAUAUGGGAAGUUUUGGAUAUUCGCAGGGUUCAACGGGAACUGCGAGCAGAUAGUGAGCGAACGCCAUUGAAUGGAAGAAGAAGAAGAAGAAGAAAAAGGUGGCGGUGGUGGUGGUGGUGGUGCUAAGUUCACGGUUCAGUGCAGAUUGGGGUUAGUUCCAGAAGAAAGAGACCCCAACAA
rnacentral:lncRNA from 1 species